rnacentral:rRNA from 1 species
AAUAGAUACCCGGGUAGUCCACGCCGUAAACGAUGAGUGCUAGGUGUUAGGGGGUCCAACCCUUAGUGCCGAAGUUAACACAUUAAGCACUCCGCCUGGGGAGUACGGCCGCAAGGCUGAAACUCAAAGGAAUUGACGGGGGCCCGCACAAGCGGUGGAGCAUGUGGUUUAAUUCGAAGCAACGCGAAGAACCUUACCAGGUCUUGACAUCCCUCUGACCUCUCUAGAGAUAGAGAUUCCCCUUCGGGGGCAGAGGUGACAGGUGGUGCAUGGUUGUCGUCAGCUCGUGUCGUGAGAUGUUGGGUUAAGUCCCGCAACGAGCGCAACCCUUGAGAUUAGUUGCCAGCAUUCAGUUGGGCACUCUAAUCUGACUGCCGCAGACAAUGCGGAGGAAGGUGGGGAUGACGUCAAAUCAUCAUGCCCCUUAUGACCUGGGCUACACACGUGCUACAAUGGAUGGUACAAAGGGUUGCGAAGCCGUGAGGUGGAGCCAAUCCCAUAAAGCCAUUCUCAGUUCGGAUUG